rnacentral:rRNA from 1 species
AGAGUUUGAUCCUGGCUCAGGAUGAACGCUAGCUACAGGCUUAACACAUGCAAGUCGAGGGGAAACGAUAGAGAAAGCUUGCUUUUUCUAGGCGUCGACCGGCGCACGGGUGAGUAACGCGUAUCCAACCUGCCCAUCACUUGGGGAUAACCUUGCGAAAGUAAGACUAAUAUCCAAUGAUAUCUCUAGAAGACAUCUGAAGGAGAUUAAAGAUUUAUCGGUGAUGGAUGGGGAUGCGUCUGAUUAGCUUGUUGGCGGGGUAACGGCCCACCAAGGCGACGAUCAGUAGGGGUUCUGAGAGGAAGGUCCCCCACAUUGGAACUGAGACACGGUCCAAACUCCUACGGGAGGCAGCAGUGAGGAAUAUUGGUCAAUGGGCGAGAGCCUGAACCAGCCAAGUAGCGUGCAGGAUGACGGCCCUAUGGGUUGUAAACUGCUUUUAUAAGGGAAUAAAGUGAGUCUCGUGAGACUUUUUGCAUGUACCUUAUGAAUAAGGACCGGCUAAUUCCGUGCCAGCAGCCGCGGUAACACGGAAGGUCCGGGCGUUAUCCGGAUUUAUUGGGUUUAAAGGGAGCGUAGGCCGGAGAUUAAGCGUGUUGUGAAAUGUAGAUGCUCAACAUCUGCACUGCAGCGCGAACUGGUUUCCUUGAGUACGCACAAAGUGGGCGGAAUUCGUGGUGUAGCGGUGAAAUGCUUAGAUAUCACGAAGAACUCCGAUUGCGAAGGCAGCUCACUGGAGCGCAACUGACGCUGAAGCUCGAAAGUGCGGGUAUCGAACAGGAUUAGAUACCCUGGUAGUCCGCACGGUAAACGAUGGAUGCCCGCUGUUGGUCUGAAUAGGUCAGCGGCCAAGCGAAAGCAUUAAGCAUCCCACCUGGGGAGUACGCCGGCAACGGUGAAACUCAAAGGAAUU